rnacentral:lncRNA from 1 species
AAUUCAGAAGCACUACUACCACUUGCAACACUUUCUUGCUUUUAAAUAUCGAUAGCUUACCACUUUUCAAUUGAAAAUUUUGCCGCAAUGGCCAUCCAAACAGUUUUUUUAAAUACUGUAUCUUUAUAAUUUCCAGUUGAUUUGUCAUAUAGACAUGAAUGUUUCCGAACUUCUUCGACAAAAGCUUCCAACAUACCACAUCGACGUUCCGACAUAUUGAAUCUACCGCUUUCAGCACGUCGAUAUGUCAAUAUGAUGUCAUAAUUUUUGCUUUCUUUCAUUGGUCUGUCCACAGCAGAAACCGAAAUGCUGCUGAAAAGUUAAAUUUUUUUUUACUCUUAUUUCAGUCAACUUUCAGUCGGCGUAAGCAGUAAAAUUUUUAAGUUUUCUGUUU